AGCCCGACAGCCUAUCACCGAGCGAUACACCGGGAUGCCACACCGACCGACACUCUCCUGGUCUUUACUACAGUUUCUCUUCCUCUCUCAGCGAGAAAACAACGAUGACCAGAGUGCCUUUUAUUUUUUCCGGGUUUUUUUUUUUUUUUUUUUUUUGCACGAACUGUGUGUAAUGAGUGCGCCGUCAGAAUUUUUAACUGCAAACUUUUUUUUUCGGUGGAUUUACAAAUAUGUUCAGGUGUUUUAGAAUUUGCCUGGUUGUGACAUCAGAAACUAGAAAACAAUUCAAGAUGGAGUCCUGGAAUGCCUCAAGCCCUGCUGAGAGAAAGAGAGAGAGGAAGGAGAGGAGUCACUCGCUCUGUGAUUCUGGCAGUGCUUGGUCAUGUUGCCGAGAGUGUGAGUGUGUGAUUGAGAGAGAGGGACCCUCUCUAGGUGAUGGUGUAGCAGCACAGAAUGGUUUGUGGUGAUACAGAUGCAGGCCGUGAUGUGCUGCAGCAUCAAUUCCUGGGACCUACGCAGUCGAGAGAGAGAGAGAGAGAGAAGAGAAGGAUUGUGUGUGUUUGUGUGUGUGAAUGUGUGUUGUCUUGCUUUAGCAGCAUGUAAAUAUUGGAGUUACUCCUUGGCAAAUGCCUCCAAUAUUGCUCAUGCUGCUGAAGCAAGAAGUCACCAAACAGCACAUGCACGUCAUCUUUUUAUCUCAGCUACUAGGGCCUAGCUGGUGCAGGUAGUGGCUGACUCACUGGCACUGAAAUACCUUCAUGGUCUGAAUCAUCAAACCAACAUAGAGAAGCCAUGCAGGAGGACCCUCGCUCUCACCGGAAUGAACUGAAUGGUCAAAGGUAAAGAUAGGUGCAGUGUUUCGUUUUGUUUGAGAAGUUAAGUAGCUUUUUUUAAGUCAUGUGUUUUUCUUGUUUAUAGGAGAAGUAUUCUUAAUAUGUAAAAAUACAAUUUUAUCCUUGUAUCCUAUUUUUUGUUUGUUUCAAUCUUUUUUUUUUUAUGAAAUAUUCCAAAUGAAAUCACUGUUUUCCUAAACGUGCUGUUGCAUUUUUGUGUUAAUGCAAGUAAAUAAUAAAACUGAAAAAAGAGGAAAAUCUCGUCUGAGCUGUCGCACACUCAUUUGAACCUCGUUAGCGCAUCUGUUGUCGCUGUAUAUGUUCAGCACUUUCCACAAGGAACGCAACUUUUAUUUCGGAGAUCUCAUCUUUGUGGUCGCUUUUCGUCUCUACUGUAUUUGAAUACUGUUGUAGAAAUGUGUUAUUUUUCUGUUGAUGAACCAGUAUAACCAAGUGCGUUAAUUUGAUUUUUUGUAUUAUAUUUUAUUUUUCAAGUUUUCCUCAUUUCUGGUGAGUACACUGAGAGCACAAAACUGACUCAAAUAGACUUUUCCCGACAAUAACAAAUAAGCAAGGUUUUUAGAUAUUUAUAUGGAGAUUAUUCCGCUGGUUAAAAUGGACGGCAUAUUAAUAUUAGAGGAAAAUGUCUCCAUGUUCUUGCUGGAGAGGUUACCGAACGGCGCAUGCGUACCAUAGGCCUAUCAUUCUUAUAUAACAUCAGCAUUAAAAAGCUUAUCUCCCAGCGACUUUCUGCAAGUUAUUUUUCGGUUUUCCCGGUAGAUGUAAAUGACGUGUGACAGCACUUGUAUUAAAUAAUAGCCUACACAAUUUUUGUGAGAUUUCACACAAAGUUCCGUAGGCCUUAAAAAAAGAAGAAGAAAAAAGCAGUAUAAUGCAGUGCAGGGGUCAAAUAGCCUACCAUUAAAAAAAUUACGCCAUUUUAUGAAAAUAAAUCAGAAAGACACAUUUAUGAGCGGGCUAAAUCAUCUUAGCACAUAUAACCACGAUUUGGACUCGUUCUUGCCAUGUCUUUGAGAAAUUAUAAUUAUUUUAUUUAUUUGUUUUUGUAUGAUUACCGGGGUCAAAUAUGUUUUUUUUUUUUUUUUUUUUUUUUUUUUUUUUUUAAGGGCCCAUUUUAUAAGGGACCCAUUUACAGGCAGAAAUGUGUGUGUGUGUGUGUUUUAAUGUCUGAAUGCUGCGUUUGCCCGAUUUGAUCACAUUUUCUAUCUUUGACAAUAAAGGAAAGACGUUUUAUUAUUAUGUAUUUAGUUUGUUUGUUUAAUUGACCAGCACUUAAAACCGUUGUUGCCUUUAGCUCGUAACACGAUCACUUCUGACACAGGUCGAUUUAAUCUUCUGACGCUUCGUUUCAGUCAUAUGAUGCUUUUAGACAUGAUCUAAAGAUGGUCCGCGCAGCUGAGAUAAUGUAGCAACAGUGCACAGUUUCAUAGAGAUUUUAAUCUAUUAUUUGGUAAUGGCAAAACAUACACAUUUUAAUAAUUUAAUGGAAAAGUUUUUCAAAAUGAAAUGGCUCAUUGUCUCUUUUUUUUUUUUUUUUUUUUUUUUUUUUUUUUUUUUUUUUGCAAAUAGAUAGCCUAACUUGAUAUGAGGACGGAUUUGUAAGCGCCUCUUUUAAUUAUUAAAUAGCUUAUGUUUUAUCAGAACCUAAAUUAAUGUUUUCCGCGCACACUUAUUUUGCUGAGUGAUGCAUUGGGAAGUUCUGUUAUAAGAUGACAUUUUACAUGGCUGUGAAAAAUAUCUAGGCUGUUUAAUUUAGAUUACUUUUAGGCAGACAUUUAAAUAAAAUACAUGUUUGUUUGUUUUUCGCUUAAUUUAAUUAUGAAUAGACUGGUUUUUACAACUAGUUGCAGUUACUGAUCCUCGUGUGUAGACACAAGUACCGAGGGGAAAAAAAGUCCGUCUAUUUUUUUUUAAGUGUGCGAGUGUGUUUAUGUCGGGGAAACUUAGGUAUGUCCAAAUAAAUUCACCUUCAAAUAUUACAGCUCUCGAUAUUUUCUCUGCACACAGCUGCUGAUUUCCAAGCUCUUCUUUUAAUUCAGUAGACAAAAGAAUGGGAUUGAAGUCUGAAAUCCUUGCGGAUCUUUGCUGAGUGCCUUAACUGUUAGAUGCAGGACAGUGCAUAUGUAGAAGGUUAACGCAAUUUUAAUAAAUACAAUGUGUAGGCUAUUUUAUUCAUUUAUUUUGCUAUCUCGACAACCAUAACACUUCGUCCGGGAGUUUUGAGACAUUUGCAACUAUAGGCUAAUUGCUGAUGUUCCUUAUUGCUGCAUCAUUUAUCAGAAUACAAGGUUGUGUUGCUAUUUCAGGAUGCGCCGCAUGAUACACUUUCAUUUAUGCAGCUUGAAAUUUAAAUUUAAACAGUGAUCAUAUUUCGUGUAUCUGGUGUAGGCUGUCCGGUUAUAUAAUGGGCAAAUGUGUGUUUGCUUUAGUGUCUGCAAAAAAAGGAACACAACUAAUGCAUUUCACAUUUUGCUACAGGACACUUUUUUUUUUUUUUUUUUUUUUUUUUUUUU